CUGGCUCAGGAUGAACGCUAGCUACAGGCUUAACACAUGCAAGUCGAGGGGCAGCAUGAUCGAAGCUUGCUUUGAUUGAUGGCGACCGGCGCACGGGUGAGUAACGCGUAUCCAACCUUCCCUGUAGUAGAGAAUAGCCCGGCGAAAGUCGGAUUAAUGCUCUAUGUUGUAUUUCGAUGACAUCUGAAGAAUACCAAAGGUUUACCGCUAUAGAAUGGGGAUGCGUCUGAUUAGGUUGUUGGCGGGUAACGGCCCACCAAGCCCACGAUCAGUAGGGGUUCUGAGAGGAAGGUCCCCCACAUUGGAACUGAGACACGGUCCAAACUCCUACGGGAGGCAGCAGUGAGGAAUAUUGGUCAAUGGACGGAAGUCUGAACCAGCCAAGUAGCGUGCAGGAUGACGGCCCUAUGGGUUGUAAACUGCUUUUAUAUAGGGAUAAAGUCGGGGACGUGUCCCCGUUUGUAGGUACUAUAUGAAUAAGGACCGGCUAAUUCCGUGCCAGCAGCUGC
rnacentral:rRNA from 1 species